AACGAACGCUGGCGGCAUGCCUUACACAUGCAAGUCGAACGGCAGCACGGGAGCAAUCCUGGUGGCGAGUGGCGAACGGGUGAGUAAUAUAUCGGAACGUGCCCAGUCGUGGGGGAUAACGUAGCGAAAGCUACGCUAAUACCGCAUACGAUCUACGGAUGAAAGCGGGGGAUCGCAAGACCUCGCGCGAUUGGAGCGGCCGAUAUCAGAUUAGCUAGUUGGUGGGGUAAAGGCCCACCAGGGCGACGAUCUGUAGCUGGUCUGAGAGGACGACCAGCCACACUGGAACUGAGACACGGUCCAGACUCCUACGGGAGGCAGCAGUGGGGAAUUUUGGACAAUGGGCGCAAGCCUGAUCCAGCAAUGCCGCGUGCAGGAUGAAGGCCUUCGGGUUGUAAACUGCUUUUGUACGGAACGAAACGGCUCUUUCUAAUAAAGAGGGCUAAUGACGGUACCGUAAGAAUAAGCACCGGCUAACUACGUGCCAGCAGCCGCAGUAAUAC
rnacentral:rRNA from 1 species